rnacentral:rRNA from 1 species
GAUGAACGCUGGCGGCGUGCUUAAUACAUGCAAGUCGAGCGAACGGACGAGAAGCUUGCUUCUCUGAUGUUAGCGGCGGACGGGUGAGUAACACGUGGAUAACCUACCUGUAAGACUGGGAUAACUUCGGGAAACCGGCGCUAAUACCGGAUGAUAUUUUGAACCGCAUGGUUCAAAAGUGAAAGACGGUCUUGCUGUCACUUAUAGAUGCAUCCGGGCUGCUUUGUCUAGUUGGUAAGUUAACGGCCUACCAAGGCAACGAUGCAUAGGCGACGUGGGGGGCGGAUAGCCCGCAUGAGAGCGGGACCGCGCUCAAGAGGACUGAGGGAGGCACCAGAAGGGAACCUGAGGCAAUGGGGGGAAGCCUGACGGAGCAACGCGGCGUGAGUGAUAGAGAUCUUGGGUUCGGAAAACUCGGUUAUUAGGGAAAAACAUAUUUGGAAUGAAAUGAGCACAGAGUGACGGUACCUAAUCAGAAAGCCACGGCUAACUACGUG